rnacentral:tmRNA from 1 species
GGUCUAGCAUUCGCUGCAGAUCGGACCUAUAUUGGGGAGGUCGCAAGACGAUGGCGCUGAAACUCAUAGCGGACCGCAGGCAGACCCGGGGGCAGUACCCGGCGCCUCCACCGCAGCAGCUUCACAGGUCCCGCGGGACCGGAUUUGCCGAACGGUAAAUCACGAGGGCUGCUGCGGCGGGGGCGAAACAGGAUCGAUGACUGCGAAGAAGGUAUGAAUUGUGCUCGGCAUGAUACCGCCGUUAUCGGGUCAAAAACCUAAAUGCAAACGAUAACGUUGCAUUGAACGAAGUGCGCCUCGCGGCGUAACCUGUUCGGGGGACGAAGCACCUGGCAACAGAACGCUUCAUG